rnacentral:lncRNA from 1 species
AAAAGGGCAGAGAGAUUUGAGCUAGAUCUAGCAAAGAAAGUUUGAGUGAAAUUACCUUCGGUUUCAAAACGGAGAAGACUGGAUCUACUACUUUAAGCUCGGAUUCACUUCCUUUUUGCUAAAUUCCUCCGAUCCAGUUCGAAUCCAGUCCGAUUUGCUUCACUCUUCUUCCGUUUCUUUGCGAUUCGGUUUGUUUUUUUUGUUAUACAGUGGUUCAAUGGUUUAUGGCUUAUGGAUUCCGAGAUCACUAUGUAUGAUUUGCGUUGUUUCUGUUGAAAUUCAGGAUAUGUGAAUCAAAGGAAAAUUGUUGUUGUUUAUGUGAUUUCUGUGAUUUUGUGUUCAUGAAUGUUCAUGAGAGUUCAUGAAGUAUUCAUCAUCUUGUGGUGUUUUGAUCUGAAAUUCUGGAGAGAGAAAAAUGGAAAUUGUUU